rnacentral:lncRNA from 1 species
GCUGAAUGAGGCACCAUCACCCCAGUUGAUACUGACUUACUUGUGGGCCAUUCCUUCUCUCCCAGGGGCCUUUGCACUCCACACACAUAGGAGCUAUCCCUUGAGUCAGGGCAUAGUGCCAUUGGCAUUACCCAAACUGGGAUGCCCACUUCUAGCCUCUUAUGUCAUAUAGCUGGAGGUGAGGGCCCUGGCAGUAUCCUCACAAGCCUCUUCCCAGAGCAUCAGCACCCUCCACCAGGGAGACUUUUGAGCUGGUAGACUCCAGGCUGAGCCGAGGGCCAUGCGUGGGGAUCGCUGUGAAAAAUAACACAGAUGGUCAGCUUCGCCAUUUCCUGUACAACACAUAAUUAGGUUAGAUAAGAAACUAGCUGUGUCUAAGUGCUAUAAAUGUCUAUAUUAAGCUAUUUUGAAAGUGCCGAGCACUUUGACAUUUGAGAGUUCAGAGUAAUUGAGGUAUUGAAAUAAAAUUGCUUCUGUUAUUUAAAAGGUCAUUAUCGUCUUCAGCUAGAUAUAUGAGGACUAUUUUCCACUCUAGUGAGCCGUUCUCUCUGGCACAAUUAGUAUCGCUUGAGCAGAGGCCUGCCAGGGAGACUCCCACCAGGCAGCCCCUGCCAGAGGCUCGAGGUAGCCAUUAAGACCCAGAGCACAAGGAAAGUGAAAAGAAGUCUCCACACCCAGAAUCAAGCCGGCCUUGGGAGAGCCAUCCCCACAGAUUUGGCACCUAUCUGGGCACAGUCCUUAAACAGGUAUGUGCUGUGCAAUUUUGCUAUAUCCUCAAGGAUGAUAUUAUUGCAGAACAUUGAAGAAACUGAGGCUUCAGGCUGGCCAUCCCCAGAGAAGCAGCGGGGGUGUGGGCAGUGGGACCAGGACAGGAG